CAAUAGCGUAUAUUAAAGUUGUUGCGGUAAAAAAGCUCGUAGUUGGAUUUCUGCGGGGAACGACCGGUCCACUCAACGAGUGCGUAUCUGGUUCGGUCUCUGCAUCCUCUCGAAAGACGUUUCUGCGCUUGAUUGCGUGGUUCGGAUCUCGGGACUUUUACUUUGAGGAAAUUAGAGUGUUCACGGCAGGCUAUCGCCAGAAUACAUUAGCAUGGAAUAAUACUAUAGGAUCUGAAUCUUAUUUUGUUGGUUCCUUUGAUUUAGAUAAUGACUAAUAGGGACAAUUGGGGGCAUUCGUAUGAUGACGUCAGAGGUGGAAUUCUUAGAUUGUCAUCCGACGAACGACUGCGAAAGCAUUUGCCAAGGAUGUUUUCAUUGA
rnacentral:rRNA from 1 species